rnacentral:rRNA from 1 species
UUAGUGAGGCUUUCGGACUGUCUCGUCGGAAUCGGCAACGAUUUUGACAUGAUGGAAAGUUAGUCAAACUUGGUCAUUUAGAGGAAGUAAAAGUCGUAACAAGGUUUCCGUAGGUGAACCUGCGGAAGGAUCAUUAAAAGUAAUAUAUAUUCAUUGGAAUAUACAUUUCAAACCCCUUGUCUAAACUACCUGUUGCUUCCGGCUGUUUGGGCUGUAUGGUUAGCUGUAUAGCCUGGCCGGAAGGUUGACAUAAAAUAUUGUAUUUAGAGUCUUCUGAAUUGUUAAAACAAAAGUUAAAACUUUCAACAACGGAUCUCUUGGUUCUCGCAUCGAUGAAGAACGCAGCGAAAUGCGAUAAGUAGUGUGAAUUGCAGAAUUCAGUGAAUCAUCGAAUCUUUGAACGCACAUUGCGCCUUCCGGUAUUCCGGGAGGCAUGCCUGUCCGAGCGUCAUCAAAAACCACUCAAGUAGUUUUGCUUGGUAGUGAAAGAAGAGUUUGCUUGCGGAUUCCCUUUCGAAAUUCAAUGGCGGAGAGUCUCAUGAUUCCGGCGUAGUAAUAACUUAUUCGCUUGGUCAUUGUAACAAUCCUGCCCCAAAUCCCCAAUUCUAGUGUUUGACCUCGGAUCAGGUAGGGAUACCCGCUGAACUUAAGCAUAUCAAUAAGCGGAGGAAAAGAAACCAACAGGGAUUGCCUUAGUAACUGCGAGUGAAGCGGCAAAAGCUCAAAUUUGAAAUCUGGUACCUUCGGUGCCCGAAUUGUAAUUUGGAGGCAUAUCUUCGGAGCUGGU